AAAUUAAGGAUUUUAGUGAAAGUCUAAAUUUAUAAAAUUUAAUUUAGAAAAUUUUC
rnacentral:tRNA from 1 species